UUUGUCCUGCACAUAAAUCAUCCAUGGUGUUUAAAAAACUAGGUCGGUGAAAUUGAAGCGAGCGUGACAUUGGAUCUGUCCUAAUCCAGGUGAGGUCUAAAGAGAACCAUGGUCUCCUCAACACUCCUCCUUUAGCAAAAAGACGAGUUCCCUUUCUCCUCUAGAACGAGGUAGGAGAUCUCAGAUUCCCAGCACCAAGAACAACAAGAUGAAUAUUUCUCCUCUGGCAAUUGUGACGACGUUACAUCCAUACCGGUGAGUUUUCAUCGACCGUGAUAACAAAGAAGAAUGCUCAUUCAAUGAUUCUAAAUAGAGACGAUGAAGGAGGAGGAGGAGAGUGUAAUAUUUAAUGUAAAAUAAUCGGUCACCCCUGCCAAAUUAAUUAUUUGAACUCGAUUUAAUAAUCUAGUUUCUUUUUGUUAUUUGAA